AAAGCUUCAGCUAUACACGACCGUACCGCAAACCGACACUGGUGCGCGAGAUGAGUAUUCUAAGGCGCUUGAGAGAACUCAGGAGAAGGAACUCGGCAAAUUGACACCGUAACUUCGGAAGAAGGUGUGCCCUAUUAGUGUGAAGUGAACAACGGAGCAUGAAUGGGUUGCAAAAAAUCGGUGGCUGCGACUGUUUAUUAAAAACACAGCACUCUGCAAACACGAAAGUGGACGUAUAGGGUGUGACGCCUGCCCGGUGCUGGAAGAUUAAAUGAUGGGGUGCGAGCUCUUGAUUGAAGUCCCAGUAAACGGCGGCCGUAACAAUAACGGUCCUAAGGUAGCGAUAUUCCUUGUCGGGUAAGUUCCGACCUGCACGUAUGGCGUAACGAUGGCCACACUGUCUCCUCCUGAGACUCAGCGAAGUUGAAAUGUUUGUGAUGAUGCAAUCUCCCCGCGGAAAGACGGAAAGACCCCAUGAACCUUUACUGUAGCUUUGUAUUGGACUUUGAACAGAUCUGUGUAGGAUAGGUGGGAGGCUUUGAAGCAGGGUCGCUAGAUCUUGUGGAGCCAACGUUGAAAUACCACCCUGGUGUGUUUGAGGUUCUAACCUAGGUCCAUUAUCUGGAUCGGGGACAGUGCAUGGUAGGCAGUUUGACUGGGGCGGUCUCCUCCCAAAGCGUAACGGAGGAGUUCGAAGGUACGCUAGUUACGGUCGGACAUCGUGACGAUAGUGCAAUGGCAUAAGCGUGCUUAACUGCGAGACUGACAAGUCGAGCAGAUGCGAAAGCAGGACAUAGUGAUCCGGUGGUUCUGUAUGGAAGGGCCAUCGCUCAACGGAUAAAAGGUACUCUGGGGAUAACAGGCUGAUACCGCCCAAGAGUUCAUAUCGACGGCGGUGUUUGGCACCUCGAUGUCGGCUCAUCUCAUCCUGGGGCUGUAGCCGGUCCCAAGGGUAUGGCUGUUCGCCAUUUAAAGAGGUACGUGAGCUGGGUUUAAAACGUCGUGAGACAGUUUGGUCCCUAUCUUCCGUGGGCGCUGCAGAUUUGAGGAAGCCUGCUCCUAGUACGAGAGGACCGGAGUGGACACACCUCUGGUGUAUCGGUUGUCACGCCAGUGGCAUUGCCGAGUAGCUAAGUGUGGAAGAGAUAACCGCUGAAAGCAUCUAAGCGGGAAACUCGUUUCAAGAUGAGAUCUGCCGGGGCCUUGAGCCCCCUGAAGAGUCGUUCAAGACCAGGACGUUGAUAGGUCAGGUGUGGAAGCGCAGUAAUGCGUUAAGCUAACUGAUACUAAUUGCUCGUGCGGCUUGACCCU
rnacentral:rRNA from 1 species